GAUGAACGCUGGCGGCGUGCCUAAUACAUGCAAGUCGAGCGAACAGACGAGGAGCUUGCUCCUCUGACGUUAGCGGCGGACGGGUGAGUAACACGUGGAUAACCUACCUAUAAGACUGGUAUAACUUCGGGAAACCGGAGCUAAUACCGGAUAAUAUAUUGAACCGCAUGGUUCAAUAGUGAAAGACGGUUUUGCUGUCACUUAUAGAUGGAUCCGCGCCGCAUUAGCUAGUUGGUAAGGUAACGGCUUACCAAGGCAACGAUGCGUAGCCGACCUGAGAGGGUGAUCGGCCACACGGGAACUGAGACACGGUCCAGACUCCUACGGGAGGGAGCAGUAGGGAAUCUUCCGCAAUGGGCGAAAGCAUGACGGAGCAACGCCGCGUGAGUGAUGAAGGUCUUCGGAUCGUAAAACUCUGUUAUUAGGGAAGAACAAAUGUGUAAGUAACUAUGCACGUCUUGACGGUACCUAAUCAGAAAGCCACGGCUAACUACGUG
rnacentral:rRNA from 1 species